rnacentral:rRNA from 1 species
ACUCCUACGGGAGGCAGCAGUAAGGAAUAUUGCGCAAUGGGCGAAAGCCUGACGCAGCGACGCCGCGUGGGGGAUGAAGGUCUUCGGAUUGUAAACCCCUUUCGGGAGGGAAGAUGGAGCGAGCAAUCGUUCGGACGGUACCUCCAGAAGCAGCCACGGCCAACUUCGUGCCAGCAGCCGCGGUAAUACGAAGGUGGCAAGCGUUGUUCGGAUUCACUGGGCGUACAGGGUGUGUAGGCGGUUUGGUAAGCCUUCUGUUAGAGCUUCGGGCCCAACCCNAAANGCGCAGAGGGUACUGCCAGGCUAGAGGGUGGGAGAGGAGCGCGGAAUUCCCG